AUGAUCUUGAAUAAAUCCCCUUUGAGCAUCUGUUUCUUCAAAUCCAGAAUGGGAAUAUUAAUGAUACUUAUGGCAGGACAGCAACUCCAAAGAAAUUAUAAUGAUAAUAAUCAAAGAAAGAGAUCAUGUCAGAGUGGCUGGACAGCAGUCCUAAAGCCAAAAAGGUUAUAUGAUAUGGGUUAUCAUGUGCUAUCAUGUAAAACAUAUUUCCAUAUUUGUCAUCUUGUUAAUGAAGAUACAUAUUUGUUUAUACAAUAAAAAAAUCAUGAAGGAAAUAACGUGGAAAAUGUACAGGCAACAGCAAUAUGAGAAAAUGAAGUGAAAUGGAAGGAAGCCAUUCAUCCUGUUCUCUGUCACUGAAUUCCCAUAGCAAGAGGAACGAUGGGAUGGCUGAAAUCAGACCGAAGAAGUUGUAAAGCAUUUGGAUUAGAAUGAGUUGGACAAUUUGAGCAAAGUGAUUAUCUUCUUAAAGUUUAAAAUAAUACUUCUGUUCUCUCACACCACAAUGGAGGAGCCCUAGGGAGCUUCUUUGACCAAACUAAUGACACUGAUAAAUGAAGGGGGUAUCCUGUCAAGCUUGUCUG
rnacentral:lncRNA from 1 species